rnacentral:tRNA from 1 species
CGAGGUGUGGCUCAGUUUGGCAGAGCGCUUGGUUUGGGACCAAGAAGUCGCAGGUUCGAAUCCUGUCACCUCGACCA